rnacentral:misc_RNA from 1 species
GAUGAAGAACGUAGUGAAAUGCGAUAAGUAAUGUGAAUUGCAGAAUUCAGUGAAUCAUCGAAUCUUUGAACGCACAUUGCGCCCGCCAGUAUUCUGGCGGGCAUGCCUGUUCGAGCGCCAUUUCAACCAUCAAGCCCCCCGGCUUGUGUUGGGGACCUGCGGCUGCCGCAGGCCCUGAAAAGCAGUGGCGGGCUCGCUGUCACACCGAGCGUAGUAGAUCUCAUCUCGCUCAGGGCGUGCUGCGGGUUCCGGCCGUUAAACCACCUUCAUAACCCAAGGUUGACCUCGGAUCAGGUAGGAAGACCCGCUGAACUUAAGCAUAUCAAUAAGCGGAGGA